GUCUACAGCCAUGCUACCCUGAACAAGUCUGAUCUUGUCUGAUCUCAGAAGCAGGGUCAGGCCUGGUUAGUACUUGGAUGGGAGACCACCUAGGAAGACCAGGUGCUGUAGGUG
rnacentral:rRNA from 1 species